GCUGGCGGCCAAAGCGGCGGGGAAACACCCGGUCCCGUCCGAUCCCGGAAGUUAAGCCCGCCUGCGUUCUGGACGGUACUGUGGUGCGCGAGCCCACGGGAAGUCUGGAACGCUGCCAGCC
rnacentral:rRNA from 1 species